UUACUACUGUUAAAUAAAAUUUCACCUACAACCACCAACCCCACCCCCUUACUGAAUGACUCUAUAACGAUAUAGAAAACAUAAUGCUAGAACUAGUAACAAGAAUAAUAAUUCUCCAAAAUGUAAGUAUUCACCAAACUACUGGUAAUUAACGGACAUGAGCCUACUACAGUAACCCCCAAGAAAACUCUGUAUAAACCCCCGUCAACCUAACACCAGAACAUUCCCGGAAAGAUUUAAAGAGAAAGAAGGAACUCGGCAAAUCUCGACCCCGCCUGUUUACCAAAAACAUCGCCUCUUGGCUCAUAAUAAGAGGUCUAGCCUGCCCACUGAUAAAAUUCAACGGCCACGGUACCCUAACCGUGCAAAGGUAGCAUAAUCACUUGUUCUUUAAAUAAGGACUAGUAUCAACGGCAUCACGAGGGUCGCACCGUCUCCCUUCUCUAAUCAGUGAAACUGAUCUCCCCGUGAAGAAGCGGGGAUAAAGCUAUAAGACGAGAAGACCCCAUGGAGCUUUAGACCUCCAGCAACUAAACUAUAUACCCC
rnacentral:rRNA from 1 species